ACACACCUACCUCAGCCAGAACAUGUGCUCUUACAUACUCAGGGUGUGUAGCUAUACAGAUACAGUUCUAGGAGGCAUCCAUGCCAAGAGAGGGAGAGGGAAAUACUGCCCACUGGCCAGGAUCAGUUGUUACAAUGGAAUCCAGUCUAAGUAUACAAUAAGCUCCUGAACUUUUAGGGGCAUGGGAAAUGAGCUGUCUGCUCUCAAAUGCCACAUUUGCCUUCUUGUCUAUGUAUCCCAAGUCCCUGAGGCUCAGCAGACUCCCAGAGUGCAUAAGGAGAUUCCAUCAGUUGGGAUACACAGGUGUAUGACUAAGUCUCAAUUUCCAGCUUCAUUUUAUGCUGGGUGCUUGAAAAACUGUUAUUUAUUUAAAAGGGGGAGGGUCAUUAAUUUCACAUCUGUAUUCAGUCAAAUGCCCUUCCCCCACAUGCUCUGUAACUGUUAAGACAUAGCUCAAGGAUAAAAUUUAAUUCUCUGGCUUGGUAUUGAACACCUAGUCCAAGGUUGGCCAGUCAAUUGCUAUAGUUUCUUGUUAACCUCUGACUAAAUUACAAAAGAACACGUCCUUGAAAUCUUUCUGACACCCAUGUGUAUAUUUAAAUCCAAUCCAUAUGGCAGGAUAUGAUACAAUCUUCUAAGACAGACGGUGCAAUGGUCACUGUCUCUUGGUAUUCACAUUCCCAUAUGAGAAUUAAAACUAGUAACUUUCUUUGAAUAUAAAGCACAGGGAGUUUCUUGGUUUACAACAAUAAAUUCCUUCAUCGAAAGCUGGGAAUAGCAGGAAGCCGAAAUGCAUUGCAAACGUCUGUCCUACUGAAUGUAAUAGCUCAGGACAAUUGUAUUAGCCUACGGAUGGGAAUAAUCCAACACAAAACACGUUUGAUUCAAAGCAGUGCCACAGGUCCCACAGUGGUUGCAUGUGCGCUCUUCAUACCACCUGAAAGCUGCCUGCAGAUCCAGAUGUAGAACUCUCAGCUACCUCUCCAGUACCAUGUCUGACUGCACACCACCAUGCUUCCCACCAUGAGGAUAACAGACUAAAUAUCUGAACUUGCCUGCAGAGAUCAGAGAGGACAUCAGAUCCCCUGGCAGAAGUUACAGAUGGCUGUAAGCCACCAUGUGGAUCCUGGGGAAACAGAACUCAGGUCCUCUGGAAGAGCAGCCAGUGCUCUUGACACUGAGCCGUCUCUCCAGCCCUCCCCUGCAACCACCAGUUCUAAUGAGCAGACCUCUCACCCACCAAUAAAGUAAAAUUUUAAAAC